rnacentral:rRNA from 1 species
UACAGAGGUCUCAAGCGUUGUUCGGAUUCAUUGGGCGUAAAGGGUGCGUAGGCGGUCGGGUAAGUCUGACGUGAAAUCUUCAAGCUCAACUUGGAAACUGCGUCGGAUACUAUUCGGCUAGAGGAAUGGGAGGGGAGACUGGAAUACUUGGUGUAGCAGUGAAAUGCGUAGAUAUCAAGUGGAACACCAGUGGCGAAGGCAGGUCUCUGGACAGUUCCGUGACGCUGAGGCACGAAGGCCAGGGGAGCAAACGGG